GAAUAUUGGACAAUGGGCGAAAGCCUGAUCCAGCCAUGCCGCGUGUGUGAAGAAGGUCUUCGGAUUGUAAAGCACUUUAAGUUGGCAGGAAGGGCAGUAGGUGAAUACCUUGCUGGUUUGCCGUUACCGACAGAAAGAGCUCCGGAUAACUCUGUGCCACCCGCCGCGGUAAUACAGAGGGUGCAAGCGUUAAUCGGAAUUACUGGGCGUAAAGCGCGCGUAGGUGGUUCGUUAAGUAGGAGGUGAAAUCCCCGGGCUCAACCUGGGAACUGCAUCCAAAACUGGCGAGCUGGAGGAGGGCAGAGGGUGGGGGAAUUUCCUGUGUAGCGGUGAAAUGCGUAGAUAUAGGAAGGAACACCAGUGGCGAAGGCGACCACCUGGGCUCAUACUGACACUGAGGUGCGAAAGCGUGGGGAGCAAACA
rnacentral:rRNA from 1 species